UCGCUAAUUAUCAGAGAAAUGCAAAUUAAAACCACAAUGAGGUAUCACCUCACACCAGUAAGGAUGGCUGCCAUCCAAAAGACAAACAACAACAAAUGUUGGUGAGGUUGUGGAGAAAGGGGAACCCUCCUACACUGCUGGUGGGAAUGUAAAUUAGUUCAACCAUUGUGGAAAGCAGUAUGGAGGUUCCUCUAAUGCUCAAAACAGACUUACCAUUUGACCCAGGAAUUCCACUCCUAGGAAUUUACCCUAAGAACGCAGCACUCAAGUUUGAAAAAGACAGAUGCACCCCUAUGUUUAUCGCAGCACUAUUUACAAUAGCCAAGAAUUUGAAGCAACCUAAGUGUCCAUCAGUAGAUGAAUGGAUAAAGAAGAUGUGGUACAUAUACACAAUGGAAUAUUACUCAGCCAUAAGAAGAAAACAAAUCCUACCAUUUGCAACAACAUGGAUGGAGCUAGAGGGUAUUACGCUCAGUGAAAUAAGCCAAGUGGAGAAAGAGAAAUAUCAAAUGAUUUCACUCAUCUGUGGAGUAUAAGAACAAAGGAAAAACUGAAGGAACAAAACAGCAGCAGAAUCACAGAACCCAAGAAUGGACUAACAGGUACCAAAGCGAAAGGGACUGGGGAGGAUGGGUGGGUAGGGAGGGAUAAGGGGGGAAAGAAGAAGGGGGGUAUUAAGAUUAGCAAGCAUGGGGGGGUGGGAGAAAGGGGAGGGCUGGCUGUACAACACAGAGAAGACAAGUAGUGACUCUACAACAUUUUGCUAUGCUGAUGGACAGUGACUGUAAAGGGGUUUAUAGGGGGGACCUGGUAUAGGGGAGAGCCUAGUAAACAUAAUAUUCGUCAUGUAAGUGUAGAUUA